rnacentral:rRNA from 1 species
UUUUCGCAAUGCCCGAAAGGGUGACGAAGCGACGCCGCGUGGGUGAGGAAGGCCCUCGGGUUGUAAAGCCCUGUCAGGAGUUAAGAAAUGUAGGUACGCUAAUAUCGUAUCUAUUUGACAAAGGCUCCAAAGGAAGCCACGGCUAACUCUGUGCCAGCAGCCGCGGUAAUACAGAGGUGGCAAGCGUUGUUCGGAAUUAUUGGGCGUAAAGAGCACGUAGGUGGAUUUGUAAGUCAGAUGUGAAAGCCUUCUGUUCAACGGGAGAAUUGCAUCUGAAACUACAAACCUUGAGUAUAGGAGGGGAGAAUGGAACUUCUGGUGGAGCGGUGAAAUGCGUAGAUAUCAGAAGGAACGCCGGCGGCGAAAGCGAUUCUCUGGCCUAUUACUGACACUCAGUGUGCGAAAGCUAGGGGAGCAAACGGGAUUAGAUACCCCGGUAGUCCUAGCCGUAAACGAUGGGCACUAAGUAGAGGGGUUUUAA